rnacentral:rRNA from 1 species
CCCUUAGAUGUUCUGGGCCGCACGCGCGCUACACUGUUUGAUUCAGCGAGUCUUAACCUUGACCGAAAGGUUUGGGUAAUCUUCUAAAGUCAAACGUGAUGGGGAUCGAUCAUUGCAAUUAUUGAUCGUGAACGAGGAAUUCCUAGUAAAUGCAAGUCAUCAGCUUGCGUUGAUUACGUCCCUGCCCUUUGUACACACCGCCCGUCGCUACUACCGAUUGAAUGGUUUAGUGAGAUCUCCGGAUUGGCUCUGUAGGUCCCGCAAGGGAUUUAUUAGUAGCCAAGAAGCUGCCCAAACUUGAUCAUUUAGAGGAAGUAAAAGUCGUAACA